rnacentral:rRNA from 1 species
AAGUCCCGCAAGGGAUUAGUAGAGUGGCAAACGGGUGAGUAACACGUGGGUGACCUGCCUUCGAGUGGGGGAUAACGUCCCGAAAGGGACGCUAAUACCGCAUGAUAUGCCGCCCUUUAAGGGGUGGACAUCAAAGCUGGGGAUCGCAAGACCUAGCGCUGGAAGAGGGGCCCGCGUCCGAUUAGCUAGUUGGUGGGGUAAUGGCUCACCAAGGCAACGAUCGGUAGCCGGCCUGAGAGGGCGGACGGCCACACUGGGACUGAGACACGGCCCAGACUCCUACGGGAGGCAGCAGUGGGGAAUUGUUCGCAAUGGGCGCAAGCCUGACGACGCAACGCCGCGUGGAGGAUGAAGACCUUCGGGUCGUAAACUCCUUUCGAUCGAGACGAAUGGCCUCCGGGUGAACAAUCCGGAGGAAUGACGGUACCGAGAGAAGAAGCCCCGGCUAACUCCGUGCCAGCAGCCGCGGUAAUACGGGGGGGGCAAGCGUUGUUCGGAAUUACUGGGCGUAAAGGGCUCGUAGGUGGCCAACUAAGUCAGACGUGAAAUCCCUCGGCUUAACCGGGGAACUGCGUCUGAUACUGGAUGGCUUGAGUUUGGGAGAGGGACGCGGAAUUCCAGGUGUAGCGGUGAAAUGCGUAGAUAUCUGGAGGAACACCGGUGGCGAAGGCGGCGUCCUGGACCAAUACUGACACUGAGUGAGCGAAAGCCAGGGGAGCAAACGGGAUUAGAUACCCCGGUAGUCCUGGCCCUAAACGAUGAAUGCUUGGUGUGGCGGGUAUCGAUCCCUGCCGUGCCGAAGCUAACGCAUUAAGCAUUCCGCCUGGGGAGUACGGUCGCAAGGCUG